GCCCCAACCUUGAUUAUACAUAUAUAACUCUGAUCAUGUGAGAACCUUUCUAUUAACAAACUGAAAACCUUUCUUCCUUGAAAAGGGUUCUCAUGCACCUCUCUCUCUCUAUAUGUAUGUAUGUAUGUCACCAACUUCUUGUUAUCUUUUGAAACUUGCAACAGCUAUUUUAUGUUUGCAAAUGCGACUACCACUUUCGACCAACUGGUGGAUUCUUAUCCUGGUCCGCUGAUUUUUGUUUCGAUACUUGUAAGUUGAUCAAAUUAGAUGAAGAUAUUUCUAUGGCAAAAAAAUCAGAAUCAGUUCACCUUUUGCAGUGUCCAGAUCCUUAUUUCAAGAAAAGACAUCAUAAAAGGAGAGUUCUUCAAUCCAGCCUUGUGGAGUCCAUUGUGAAGAAUUUGUCACCAG
rnacentral:lncRNA from 1 species